rnacentral:rRNA from 1 species
CGGAUUCAUUGGGAGUAAAGGGUGCGUAGGCGGCGCGGUAAGUCGGGUGUGAAAUCUCGGAGCUUAACUCCGAAACUGCAUUCGAUACUGCCGUGCUUGAGGACUGGAGAGGAGACUGGAAUUUACGGUGUAGCGGUGAAAUGCGUAGAUAUCGUAAGGAAGACCAGUGGCGAAGGCGGGUCUCUGGACAGUUCCUGACGCUGAGGCACGAAGGCCAGGGGAGCAAACGGG